GUAUUCCAAUUCUGUAAUAUAAUUUAUCAUUUGAUAAGUAAUACAAUUUAUGGAUGUAAAUUUCCUUACUAAUAUUAUUUUAAGUAAGAGAACAUUUUUGACGCUUGUUACAUGCACGUGUAUAUCGUCAAAAAAUGUAUUCGUCGCAAUGUUACUUUAUCAAGAGCGAAGACCAGAGGAAAAAGAGAAAAGACGAAUAAGAAAUCACCUUUAGCAUAACAUGGGGAGGCUGGGUUCAAUGGAAUGCCGAUCUAGUAAGAGGCGUGGUAUGUGGCCGUCACAUACCAAACAACCGUGCUUUUAUUUUUUGUGCAGAUUCUUUAGGUUAAACCUAAUCAUACUUGCAUUUUUAGCCGAUAAUUAAAGAAAUCACGCUUUCUAACAGAAUAUUAGCACGAAAGGUAAAGUGAAAGAUUUACUUAAAAUUUGAGUAUUGCAUAUAGCUUGUCUUUUAUUUAAUACUUAUGAAACAACAAAAGUCUUUGCUUUUUUUAAAUUAUAAAAUCUUUGCAAUUUUGUAGCAAAAAUAAUGCGACAGAAAAUAAGAGGAUUAAUUAAAAAUCCAACCGGUUUUGCAAAAAACCUUUAUCAGAUACUGGUUUAAACACGGAACCCUUUCGCGCUACGAAAAGAAAAAAAAAGGAUACAGAGUUUUGUAUAGUGAGUCAUUCGUAGGUGUGUCUUGGAUUAAUCCGCAGCACCUGUGCUAGAAUAUAUUUCUAGAGCUGGAACCUUCACAUGAUACAAUGCAGGGGUUUCUGAAAAUUUUGCUAGAGUUAACAGAUCAAUGUUCCAAAAGAGUGAACAUGUUGCACCCCACGUUUCUUGAACAGACUAUUUCCGUGAGUAAAGUUGGGGAAGAAUGAAUCGUAAUGAGUAGGGUGCUCAUUGUCUAUCCUGAUUUGUCGCUUUGUUGACCAGAAUGCUAUA